rnacentral:rRNA from 1 species
UACCAGCACCCCGAGUGGUCGGGACGAUUAUUGGGCCUAAAGCAUCCGUAGCCGGUCCUGCAAGUCUUCCGUUAAAUCCAGCCGCUCAACGGUUGGGCUGCGGAGGAUACUACGUGGCUAGGAGGCGGGAGAGGCAAGCGGUACUCAGUGGGUAGGGGUAAAAUCCGUUGAUCCAUAGAAGACCACCAGUGGCGAAGGCGGCUUGCCAGAACGCGCUCGACGGUGAGGGAUGAAAGCUGGGGGGAGCAAACCGG